GUCAUAUACAAAUACAAAGAGAAAGAUGGUGUUGAGCAAAACGGUGUCUGUGCUUGUCUUCUUUAUGGUUAUUCUAUUAGGUUCACCAGUAGUGAAUGUUAUGGGACAGUCUAUUUCAAAUGGUGGCGGUGGGUUUGCCUCCCCAAAUGGUUGCGUGACGGAUAGAGAUUGUGACAAAAGUUGUCAUUGUCACGGUGGCAUCGGAAAUAAGUGCGAUGGAGGGAUUUGUGUUUGUGGUUGUACAAUUGGCCGUAACAAUGGCAAUUAAUUGAGAUUAAUUUCUUAAUGAUUAAUAAGAAUUUUUAAA